rnacentral:lncRNA from 1 species
UGCUAGCAUAGGAUAGUUUUGAUUUUAAUUUUAAUAAAAAUUUUUAUUCUAUUUAUUUAUGAAAUAAAUUGGUUGCACGUGAUCUUUUAAUUGAUAGUGUUUAUUACUUGCAUGUUGAUGUGAAUAUGAAUUUAAACGAGCGAGUAGCGAGUGAUGUAGGUCAAAAGAGAUCUAAAGAUGAAAUUAAUUAAAAAUACUUAUGGCAUUAUAGACUAAGCCA